GCAAAACAUCACUUGCAUUGAAAUAAAGAGAAUUCUUGAGUGUUACAAUGGCUUCCAAGGAGUAAUCGAGGAAUAGAGCAUGUGGGAGGAGAUAUGUUUACGAGUGUUCCUAAAGGAGAGGUAAUCAUUCUGAAGGCAGUACUUCAUGAUUGGGAUGACGAAUAUUGCCUGAAAAUAUUGAAGAAUUGUUGGAGAGCUUUGCCAAAAGAUGGUAAGGUUGUGGUAAUAGAAGAAAUACAACCAGAUUACCCAGAGACUACUGAUCUUUCUAAGCAUACAUUUAGUGUUGACAUGUUAAUGAUGACUAUGCUUGAUGGAGGGAAAAAAGAACAAAGCAACAAUUUGAAGCCUUGGCUAAACAAGCUGGAUUUGCUGCUCUCAAAGUAAUAUGUCGUGCAUAUUACUGUUGGGUCAUGGAGUUGUAAAAGUAUUAACUAUUUUAGUUAAUUUCUGCAAUAAAAAUAAGUCUUGCUAGAAUCAAAAGUUAAUUAGUUUAUGUAUUUUC